UACGUAGACGGAAUGCCAAGUAUCUUGUGAAAUCCCUCGGCUCAACCGAGGAAUUGCAGGGUAAACUGGCAUUCUUGAGGCAGGUAGAGGUAACUGGAACUCAUGGUGGAGCGGUGGAAUGCGUAGAUAUCAUGGGGAACGCCAAAGGUGAAGACAAGUUACUGGGCCUGUCCUGACGCUGAGGUACGAAAGCGUGGGUAGCAAACAGGAUUAGAUACCCUGGUAGUC
rnacentral:rRNA from 1 species